GCUGCUACUGCUACUGCUGCUACUGCUGCUACUGCUGCUACUGCUGCUACUGCUGCUACUACUGCUACUGCUGCUGCUGCUACUACUGCUACUGCUGCUUCUUUUCGAUGACAAAACGUUUACGUUGACCACAGGUCCCAGACUACACGAUGGAUCAUGGUUAUCGAAAAAGCUUCUAUCAUGAUGCGCUUAUCAUCAAGUUCCACUACAUAUAGCUCCGCUCGGAUAAACCGGUCGUUUUGUACGUGCUAUCGAGCGCCGAGUGCCUGCACUGAGCUGCGGCUGUAGCGCCUAAACCGCUGGAGCAGAUACAUCACGGGGACAGAACCCUGCUGCCAUACCACUGAGUGCGUCGGCUCGAGGAGUGCUUUACUCGGCAGGAAUUGGGAUUCAUGAUCAUGCUGGGAGUCUGCAAGCUGCGCGGACAGACGUACUGCCUACGAUAGCGCGAAGCGAUAUACUGGGAGUCCAGUAGGACUGGUCCGCAACGCCUAGGCACAGGCUACCGGCACCCUUGUCGCAGAAUGAAUGGCGUUGCGGACCAGUUGCUCAGAUUUCGCCACAGCACCUGCCACUGGUGGUAGCAUGAAGCACUAGCCCGGGAGACUCGUCCGGCUCGCUGGAACUUCCACCUCGAAGGUAAACUUUCGAAGAUACGGAAACUUUUUCCCGUUUUAAUCUUUAUCGUAACGGGAGAAGAGUUCGUCAUCUUGUUGGUAGUUAGCGUUCAGUCUCUGUUCUUUGUUCCCUCGAACCGAUGCGCUUCGAUAGAGCGCCGGUCAUGAAGCGCUCCCUCGUGGUGCUCGAGGCGUCGCCCGUUCGCCUCUACGUCAUCAAAGCCUUCACGCGCGAAUGGCGUCGGGCAGUGACAUGACUCAGAGACGCCGUACCGGGAAUGCUCCCAUGUACUGCUCCAGAGAUCAAUCUCACCAAUCUCGAUUCGUCUACGUUCCUGUCGUGCAUGGCAGCGACCCACGCUCUAGUCGAAACGAUUGCGUCGAUGACUCACGUCCGAGUCCAAGACCCCAUUCCAUGUAAACAGAAGAGACACGGCCCUCUGCGAAUGUCUCUAUUGAGAGGCACCAUGCCGCUGUCAAGUCCGGGUUCGUCGGCGGCCACAAGGAGAUGCGGAUUUGUCAUUCGAACGGAUUCUCUGAUUUGGGGUAAUAAGUUCAGUGAACUUUUGGUAGCAGCCUGUAUACAAGUCGUCAAGGAGCACCGUCGAGCUUGGUCAACGUUCAUUCGGAAGCACGAAUCGCUGUGCCAACGAGUUGCAUGGUGACCGAUCGAUCGAAAACUGGAAGAAAUCGUGAUUGGAUCAUAUUACGAGUAUGCCAGGGAGACGCACGGAUGCUUAUACGUCAACAGGACCUCAUAAUAUCGGUUGUUUUAGGAACCCUCGUCCGAGAACGUCGCGAAUCAUCGGGGCUUCCAAUGGCGUAUCGAGUUCCAGCGGCAGAGCAUCGAAGAGCCCUCUCCGGAAACACCUCUACGAAUCCUAAAGCAACCCG